GACGAACGCUGGCGGCGUGCCUAAUACAUGCAAGUAGAACGCUGAAGAGAGGAGCUUGCUCUUCUUGGAUGAGUUGCGAACGGGUGAGUAACGCGUAGGUAACCUGCCUUGUAGCGGGGGAUAACUAUUGGAAACGAUAGCUAAUACCGCAUAACAAUGGAUGACACAUGUCAUUUAUUGGAAAGGGGCAAUUGCUCCACUACAAGAUGGACCUGCGUUGUAUUAGCUAGUAGGUGAGGUAAUGGCUCACCUAGGCGACGAUACAUAGCCGACCUGAGAGGGUGAUCGGCCACACUGGGACUGAGACACGGCCCAGACUCCUACGGGAGGCAGCAGUAGGGAAUCUUCGGCAAUGGGGGCAACCCUGACCGAGCAACGCCGCGUGAGUGAAGAAGGUUUUCGGAUCGUAAAGCUCUGUUGUAAGUCAAGAACGGGUGUGAGAGUGGAAAGUUCACACUGUGACGGUAGCUUACCAGAAAGGGACGGCUAACUACGUG
rnacentral:rRNA from 1 species